CCUACGGGUGGCAGCAGUGAGGAAUAUUGGUCAAUGGACGAGAGUCUGAACCAGCCAAGUAGCGUGAAGGAUGACUGCCCUAUGGGUUGUAAACUUCUUUUAUAAAGGAAUAAAACGAGGCACGUGUGCCUUUUUGCAUGUACUUUAUGAAUAAGGAUCGGCUAACUCCGGGCCAGCAGCCGCGGUAAUACGGAGGAUCCGAGCGUUAUCCGGAUUUAUUGGGGUUAAAGGGAGCGUAGAUGGGUUGUUAAGUCAGUUGUGAAAGUUUGCGGCUCAACCGUAAAAUUGCAAUUGAUACUGGCAGUCUUGAGUACAGUUGAGGUAGGCGGAAUUCGUGGUGUAGCGGUGAAAUGCGUAGAUAUCACGAAGAACCCCGAUUGCGAAGGCAGCUUACUAAACUGUGACUGACAUUGAUGCUCGAAAGUGUGGGUAGCAAACAGGAUUAGAUACCCCUGUAGUC
rnacentral:rRNA from 1 species